GAAUUGUUCGCAAUGGGCGCAAGCCUGACGACGCAACGCCGCGUGGAGGAUGAAGGUCUUCGGAUUGUGAACUCCUGUUGCCCGGGACGAAUAGCUCCGACCUAACACGUCGGAGUCUGACGGUACCGGGUGAGGAAGCCCCGGCUAACUCCGUGCCCGCAGCCGCGGUAAUACAGAGGGGGCAAGCGUUGUUCGGAAUUACUGGGCGUAAAGGGCGCGUAGGCGGCCUUCUAAGUCGAACGUGAAAUCCCCGGGCUCAACCCGGGAACUGCGUCCGAGACUGGAAGGCUUGAAUCCGGGAGAGGGAUGUGGAAUUCCAGGUGUAGCGGUGAAAUGCGUAGAUAUCUGGAGGAACAUCGGUGGCGAAGGCGGCAUCCUGGACCGGCAUUGACGCUGAGGCGCGAAAGCCAGGGGAGCAAACGGG
rnacentral:rRNA from 1 species